CUCUUCACCCCUAGACUACCACGGCAGAUUGGAACCCAGGAAUCCGCAGAGAAAACAUAAGAUUUCUAUCUAGAAAAAGGGAGCAAAAGAGAAAGGAAGGGAGUGGAUAGGGCAGGACUGUGUACUUCAGGGGCCUGCAGUCUCUGCACCAGGACACCAGGAGACCUGACUCAGAGAAGAGACUAGAAACCAACAGAAAGAAACUAAACAGCUGUCUGAUACAUAUACAGAUACACACUUGUACAUGUGUAUCCCAAUUUAAAGCUAUACAGAAAAUUAACUGAGGAACGGACUAUGGGGUCGUUGAUCUUCCUUCUCAUCAAACUUGCAUCCCACCAACUUCGGGCCUGCUGCAGCUAAUUAUUCUUGGUGUCAACAAUUUUGGCAUUGCAGAAGACCAUGGAGACAACUUUUUUAUUUCUCCAUCACACAAGGACUGAAGAUACAAAAAUGAGUUUUUCUUUCCUAUGGCCUUGGACUAGCUAUAUACGAUAGUAAUUAGCAAGCAGGCUCUGAAUUACACGAGCCCCUCCCACUGACUCUUGUACUUUUUAGCUAUAAGAACCUAAGCACGAACUUCGCAGAGCUCCAGUGCUUCUGUUUUGAAAAGAGAUAAUAUUUCCUAUGGGAUAGGGUUGUCUGGGGGUACUAAAUGAGAACUACAUACAAAGUACUUAAUGGAAGGUAUGUAGGACUCAAUAGAGGUAGCUAUUAAAUUGUAUGUAAGUAACAAAUCCUGAUAAUGUUCAAUUCUGAAUAAAACUUAGCAAGGUA
rnacentral:lncRNA from 1 species